ACCUAUGAUGUAUCGCCCAACAUUUGGAGGUGCAGAUUGGCUGCAGGAUCCUGUUUACAGGAUGAACCUACCUGUAGCCGCUGCAUCCACAUGACAUUCACGGGCAAGUCUGAGGU
rnacentral:snoRNA from 1 species